CAGUAACGCGUGGGAAUAUACCCUUCACUAUGGAAUAGCCUCGGGAAACUGAGAGUAAUACCAUAUACGCCCUUCGGGGGAAAGAUUUAUCGGUGAAGGAUUAGCCCGCGUAAGAUUAGAUAGUUGGUGGGGUAAUGGCCUACCAAGUCUACGAUCUUUAGCUGGUUUUAGAGGAUGAUCAGCAACACUGGGACUGAGACACGGCCCAGACUCCUACGGGAGGCAGCAGUGGGGAAUCUUAGACAAUGGGCGAAAGCCUGAUCUAGCCAUGCCGCGUGAGUGAUGAAGGUCUUAGGAUCGUAAAGCUCUUUCGCUAGGGAUGAUAAUGACAGUACCUAGUAAAGAAGCCCCGGCUAACUCCGUGCCAGCAGCCGCGGUAAUACGGAGGGGGCUAGCGUUGUUCGGAAUUACUGGGCGUAAAGCGUACGUAGGCGGAUCAGAAAGUAUGGGGUGAAAUCCCAGGGCUUAACCCUGGAACUGCCUCAUAAACUCCUGGUCUUGAGUUCGAGAGAGGUGAGUGGAAUUCCAAGUGUAGAGGUGAAAUUCGUAGAUAUUUGGAGGAACACCAGUGGCGAAGGCGGCUCACUGGCUCGAUACUGACGCUGAGGUACGAAAGUGUGGGGAGCAAACAGGAUUAGAUACCCUGGUAGUCCACACCGUAAACGAUGAAUGCCAGUCGUCGGGCAGUAUACUGGUG
rnacentral:rRNA from 1 species